rnacentral:rRNA from 1 species
UACGUAGGGUGCAAGCGUUAAUCGGAAUUACUGGGCGUAAAGCGUGCGCAGGCGGUUAUGCAAGACAGAUGUGAAAUCCCCGGGCUCAACCUGGGAACUGCAUUUGUGACUGCAUGGCUAGAGUGCGGCAGAGGGGGAUGGAAUUCCGCGUGUAGCAGUGAAAUGCGUAGAUAUCAUUUGGAACGCCAAUGGUGAAAACAGGUAGCUGGGAGUGUGCUGACGCUGAGACACGAAAGCCAGGGGAGCGAACGGG